UACGUAGGGUGCAAGCGUUAAUCGGAAUUACUGGGCGUAAAGCGUGCGCAGGCGGUUAUGUAAGACAGUUGUGAAAUCCCCGGGCUCAACCUGGGAACUGCAGCUGUGACUGCAUAGCUAGAGUACGGUAGAGGGGGAUGGAAUUCCGCGUGUAGCAGUGAAAUGCGUAGAUAUGCGGAGGAACACCGAUGGCGAAGGCAAUCCCCUGGACCUGUACUGACGCUCAUGCACGAAAGCGUGGGGAGCAAACAGG
rnacentral:rRNA from 1 species